UUUCCGUAGGUGAACCUGCGGAAGGAUCAUUACUGAAUUGUCGACACGAGUUGUUGCUGGCCCCUCAAACGGGGGCAUGUGCACGCUCUGUUUGCAUCCACUCACACCUGUGCACCUUCUGUAGUUCUAUGGUUGGGGAGGCAAAUGCCUCCCCUCCUGUGGUUCUACGUCUUUACACACACACUGUAACGUAGUCUUAUGGAAUGCAUGCGGCGUUUAACGCAAUACAAUACAACUUUCAGCAACGGAUCUCUUGGCUCUC
rnacentral:misc_RNA from 1 species